rnacentral:rRNA from 1 species
AGUGAACGCUGGCGGUAGGCCUAACACAUGCAAGUCGAACGGCAGCACAGUAAGAGCUUGCUCUUACGGGUGGCGAGUGGCGGACGGGUGAGGAAUACAUCGGAAUCUACUUUUUCGUGGGGGAUAACGUAGGGAAACUUACGCUAAUACCGCAUACGACCUACGGGUGAAAGCAGGGGAUCUUCGGACCUUGCGCGAUUGAAUGAGCCGAUGUCGGAUUAGCUAGUUGGCGGGGUAAAGGCCCACCAAGGCGACGAUCCGUAGCUGGUCUGAGAGGAUGAUCAGCCACACUGGAACUGAGACACGGUCCAGACUCCUACGGGAGGCAGCAGUGGGGAAUAUUGGACAAUGGGCGCAAGCCUGAUCCAGCCAUACCGCGUGGGUGAAGAAGGCCUUCGGGUUGUAAAGCCCUUUUGUUGGGAAAGAAAAGCAGCAGGUUAAUACCCUGCUGUUCUGACGGUACCCAAAGAAUAAGCACCAGCUAACUUCGUG